AACCAAGGGGAUCCGGCUCCGUUGCAUUAACUGCAACAAGUCAUAAUGAACCUACCGGUGAGGCUUCCUUAUUCAGCAAGACCGAACAGUUGGUUUACCAGACGGAUUUCGCCUGUCACGCCCGGAUGGCUGAGGACGCAGUGACCGCGGCGGAUCAUUCGCAUGACCUCGAAACC
rnacentral:misc_RNA from 1 species